rnacentral:rRNA from 1 species
UACGUAGGGCGCAAGCGUUGUCCGGAAUUAUUGGGCGUAAAGAGCUCGUAGGCGGACUGUCACGUCCGCUGUGAAAAGCUAGGGCUUAACCCUGGCCUUGCAGUGGAUACGGGCAGACUAGAGGUAGGUAGGGGAGAAUGGAAUUCCCGGUGUAGCGGUGAAAUGUGCAGAUAUCGGGAGGAACACCGGUGGCGAAGGCGGUUCUCUGGGCCUUACCUGACGCUGAGGAGCGAAAGCGUGGGGAGCGAACAGG